GGAGAGAUGGCUGAGCUGGUCUAAGGCGCACGACUGGAAAUCGUGUGUGCGUUAAUAGCGCACCGAGAGUUCGAAUCUCUCUCUCUCCGCCA
rnacentral:tRNA from 1 species